CCUACGGGCGGCAGCAGUGGGGAAUAUUGCACAAUGGGGGAAACCCUGAUGCAGCGACGCCGCGUGAGUGAAGAAGUAAUUCGUUAUGUAAAGCUCUAUCAGCAGGGAAGAAAAUGACGGUACCUGAGUAAUAAGCCCCGGCUAACUACGUGCCAGCAGCCGCGGUGAUACGUAGGGGGCAAGCGUUAUCCGGAUUUACUGGGUGUAACGGGAGCGUAGACGGCAGUGCAAGUCUGGAGUGAAAGGCGGGGGCUCAACCCCCGGACUGCUCUGGAAACUGUACGGCUGGAGUGCAGGAGUGGUAAGUGGAAAUCCUAGUGUAGCGGUGAAAUGCGUAGAUAUUAGGAGAGACACCAGUGGCGAAGGCGGCUUACUGGACUGUAACUGACGUUGAGGCUCGAAAGCGUGGGGGGCAAACAGGAUUAGAUACCCCUGUAGUC
rnacentral:rRNA from 1 species